GGGUGCUAGGCAUUGUGCUAAGUACUGUGGAGGCCACAAAGGAGAAAAAGACAUGGUCAUUCACCUCAAGGAGUUCUUUCCAGACUGGAAUACAUCAUUGGAUUAGCCAGUAACAGGAUGGUAGCCCUGAGGAUAUCCUUUUGGCCUCCAGAAGGCUGAGAGACAGCAUGUGGAAAUGAAGGGGACAAAACCUCUUGUGGUAUCUCAGGGGAAAAAACAAAAGGAGAGGAGUUGAGUUUGGCCUGACCUUCCAACCCAGGGAUCUCUAUAAGGAGGGAUUGUACUUGAUCAAAAGCCUCUCGCUAUUGCUGAGUAAGGAGUAAUCAACCUUUGAGGCUACUGUCACUCAGACUUGGUGCCGGACAUCCUCUGUGGACUUAAUACAUAUUCCUGGCACACGGCUAAUUCCUGAUUUCAUGCCUUAUUUGACAUAUCAGAGGAUCACCGAGCAAAGACACUUCUGGUUGCAGGAUCCUCAAAGAAGGAGGUUUCUACCAGAGGAGUCGAGCUUAGACUCCUGGAGAAAAGAGGAACAACUGUGCCUUCAGCACUGGAGAGGCGAAAAAGAAUAGAGCCCUGAGACAAACUGGACUUCCCUUUUCUACUACUGGUCUUGCCAUUCCUCAAGGGCACGGAGAUGGAUAUCCAGCACGCCAACAGAAGCAUAUGUUAAGAGAGAAUUCUGGCUGGUGGAAUGCCAGCCAGCAGGAAGUUGGCAAUAAUAGGGCCAUGACGUUUGGCGCCCGGAGCCACAUCUUGAGCAGGACUGUGGGCACCAAAGUCCCAGAUGAAGGACAGCUCCUUCAUCACAGACCCUUAUCUUACACCCAGCAAGUCAGCCAGCCACCCUUCACCCUACUCACUCAGCCAUAAAUUUCCAGCCUGAAAUGAAUGCAAUAUUUGGCUUAAAAAUCAAUAAAAUCAGUCUUUUUUCCCCCUCCUUUUUUUUGAGGGAAGCCUGAAACUAAAGCAAAAAGACUUAGGCUUUCUAAUGGCUGGAUAAGGAAACACUAACCUGGGACAGCCUCUCUGUCCAAUCCCAAUCCUGCUCCCCCAUCCAUCUGCAAGGCAGUGAUAGUCCUUGGUCUUCAGACACUUCUCCCCUCAUGUUUUCUUUCUCUUUCUUUAUGGGUUUCCAAACUCUGACAACUCAAGAACCCUUUGUGGCUCAUGGAAGCUUCUGGCCUCUAGAGUACCUGGGGCAGAGGUCUAUGCAGAGAAUUUCAGAAUUCCUGGGGGUGAUGCUUGAGCAUAAGAGACAGACAGAGAGUUCACUAAGAAAGAAAGGAAUCUCUGAAACAGGAAAGGGAGGCUUGCAGCCUUCCGUGAGCAGAUGGGCCUCACCUCCAUUUACCUCCACUAAUCCUAACCAGCCCCAGGUGAUCAGGGAGGGGCUGCCUCCGUUCUUGAGGUUCUACUGCAGCAAGGGAACCUGGUUUUCCCCGGAUGAGCUCCGUUCCCACAGCUGCCCUGCCCUGGGCAGCACUGCCAAUACCCUGCAGGACGUGGGGGUGUUAGCCAGCAGAGGCGCUCUGCCUGCCUGGGGUGGUGUCUAGGUAUGAG